AUGACAAGCAGUGACCUGGACACCACUUGACUGAGGAAUGCAAGACAGUUUCCUAUCAUAAAAUCUCAUAACAGAUUUUCAACAUGCUUUCAAAAUAAAGAAAUAAAUCCAAAGCACUUAUCGCUUCAGUUCUGCCUCUUUAAUGUGUUGUCUUGCCUUCCUGACCUGUAAUCACAGCAACAAUGCUGGGAGCCAUUAAGAGAACAGCUACAUAGCUCCAUGAUGUCAAGUGCACAGAUCAUUGUUGCAAUUUAAGGACAACUGCUGCCUGCUGCCUAGCUGGUUCUCUGCAGAGGUGACAGCCAACAGGAGGAAUGCUCAGCAUCAUUACCAUCUAUUUUGAUUCGAAGACAUAUGUACAGGGAGACAUCCUUGCCUAACCACUGCUACACAGAGCAAGAUGGAUUUCAUGUCUACCAUAGAGAAAGCUGCCUUUGUCCUGUCUUUAUUCAAGUUGAGUCUGUCCUGACUAUAAUACACUAUGAGAGAAGCAUAGAUUGUAUGAAGUACUUUGGGGCUCAAGGCAUUGAGGGAUCUAUCUCCAUCAACUGAAGAAAUGAUUUCUGGAUAUAAGACAUUUGCUAUUAUUGGAAGACGAACAGAGGGACAGAAUACAGAACCUCUGUAGAAUGAAAAAGCCCAAAGGAGACUGAAACACAGCAUUCCAAAUAAUUUAGGAAAAACAACACUGAGGGCAAACAUUUCCUUUAUAUAACUUGGCAGACCAGUGCUAAAAAAUGAAAUGUGGAUCUCUAGCACUUGGCAACAGCAAACGGCCAAAAAAGGUCCUGUGUGAAUAAUAUGCAGAGCAACUGUGAGUUUUAAUUCAAUUCAUCACAAAAAUUAGGAAAAGAUUUUCUACCUUGCCAAAUUCUGAACUACUUUUCUCAUCUGUUUCUUUUUUUUCUUUUUUGUCUUUUUUUUUCCUAUUUUUUUUUUUUAAAUCAAGCCCUAACAAUUAUUUUUCUAUUACAAAACAUACUAGCAACAUAGAAUUAUUGAUAGUACAAUGCUGGGAAUGUUAUUGACUUAAAAAAAAAAAAAAGACAUCUUAAAAGGCCAAAUCUAAAUGUCUCAUUAAUUUUGUUAGAAGGUAACUUAUCUACAGUGGGUCAGCCUUGGAAUGGCAAGGCUUGGGGGAAGUAAUUUAUCUAUUGCUAUCAAAAGAUCUCUUGUAACACAAAGUUCAGCCAAAUUUAUCUGUCCAUUCAGGUUAUUAUGUCCUGUUUUCUUAACCCAGAAAUUUGCUCAGAGAGCAUUAGCUCACCACCAGCUCCAUAGCCCUUCUCCCAUAGAAGAAAAACUGUAUUUGUAGCAAUUUUUUUUGUGUGAAUUAAAGCUGUGAAGCAAUAUUGGCCUUUUAAGGCCAAAAUAUUAAAGAUUCUGAGCUUGUGUUCCCCUAUCUGGCACCAAAAUACGUACCCAUAUUUUUUGCUCUAAGUCAAAACAUCUGUUGAAAACUGAUAGGUAUCAGUAGACGAGAAGUGGUCAUUCUUAAUGCCAUUGAUAAUAAGAGGAUAAUAGACAAUAAAAACUGUCAGUGAAGUUACAAAUAAUGAAAGCACUGAAUCAGAUAAAUAGGAACUGGCGAAACUCACUUAGUAAACCAAACCAUGCCUGGAAAUCUUGGGGGAGAAUUCUAGGUGGAGCAGAUCAAAUCCUUGACACAGAUCCUGUUAGUGGUUUGCCAGUACUGCCUAUCUGGAGCCAAGGACCAAGCACAGGCUUUGGCAAUGCUCAGCUUCCUAGCAUAGUUAAGCUUCAUGUGAGGUGCCAGCAAUGACCCAGAUACAGUCACCUUCAAACAACUUCCUAGUUUAUUUAUUCUGAGUGAUCACAAUGCUUUACAAAUUGCUUGCAACAACAAAGAAAAAUGUCUUGUUGAAUCAAGUUGUCCGAAGAGAAGAUGUUGUAGGUUCUCCCUACUGCAUGCAGUACAGCCAGGCCUUAGCAGAGAGUUUGAAGAACUGCUGACAGUGGACCUGUAGCAGCAGAAGACUAGGUUUUGGAGAGUGUGAGUUGCCUCUACCUUGAAACAAAAAUGGCU